rnacentral:rRNA from 1 species
UAAAGUAGCAAUACUUUUGGUGGCGACCGGCGCACGGGUGAGUAACGCGUAUGCAACCUACCUAUCAGAGGGGAAUAACCCGGCGAAAGUCGGACUAAUACCGCAUAAAACAGGGACACCGCAUGGUGAUAUUUGUUAAAGAAAUUCGCUGAUAGAUGGGCAUGCGUUCCAUUAGGUAGUUGGUGAGGUAACGGCUCACCAAGCCGACGAUGGAUAGGGGAACUGAGAGGUUGGUCCCCCACACUGGUACUGAGACACGGACCAGACUCCUACGGGAGGCAGCAGUGAGGAAUAUUGGUCAAUGGGCGAGAGCCUGAACCAGCCAAGUCGCGUGAAGGAAGAAGGAUCUAUGGUUCGUAAACUUCUUUUGCAGGGGAAUAAAGUGCAGGACGUGUCCUGUUUUGUAUGUACCCUGAGAAUAAGGAUCGGCUAACUCCGUGCCAGCAGCCGCGGUAAUACGGAGGAUCCGAGCGUUAUCCGGAUUUAUUGGGUUUAAAGGGUGCGUAGGUGGUUUGAUAAGUCAGCGGUGAAAGUUUGCAGCUUAACUGUAAAAAUGCCGUUGAAACUGUCGGACUUGAGUGUAAAUGAGGUAGGCGGAAUGCGUGGUGUAGCGGUGAAAUGCUUAGAUAUCACGAAGAACUCCGAUUG